rnacentral:lncRNA from 1 species
UUUCAAAACCACGACCUGGCCGGUCCUUUCAAAGUGGCGGAGAACGCUUUGCACAUAACCUCAUCCGAGCAACCCUGGAGUGACAUUAGGCUUUUGUACGAGUCCAGGUGGUCCAUCGGAUCUAUCUUUCCUUCAUAAAUGCCGAGCUGGGUAGGGAGCUUGAACUUCGAAGAGAUCCGAGCUCUCAAUACCCUUUCCGUGAACGGCGGAUCUGUCUGUCUAAUCAAAGUGUCCACAGUUACUGGAGCAUUUGUUCCAGUGUUAAUAGCGUCGAGCCGUGCGUUCAAAUCUCGAAUCUUCUGCGAGGUGGACUUGUUUCGUGCCUCGAU